rnacentral:rRNA from 1 species
CUGCUGCCUUCCGUAGGAGUCUGGGCCGUGUCUCAGUCCCAGUGUGGGGGGCCUUCCUCUCAGAACCCCUACGCAUCGUCGCCACGGUGGGCCGUCACCCCGCCGUCUAGCUAAUGCGCCGCAUGCCCAUCCGCCACCGGAUCGCUCCUUUGGCCACCGGAGGAUGCCCUCCGGUGGCGUCACGGGGUAUUAGGCCGCGUUUCCGCGGGUUAUCCCCCUGUGGCGGCCAGGUUGCAUACGUGUUACUCACCCGUGCGCCGGUCGCCGG